rnacentral:rRNA from 1 species
GAUGAACGCUGGCGGCGUCCCUAAUACAUGCAAGUCGAGCGAACGGACGAGAAGCUUGCUUCUCUGAUGUUAGCGGCGGACGGGUGAGUAACACGUGGAUAACCUACCUAUAAGACUGGGAUAACUUCGGGAAACCGGAGCUAAUACCGGAUAAUAUUUUGAACCUCAUGGUUCAAAAGUGAAAGACGGUCUUGCUGUCACUUAUAGAUGGAUCCGCGCUGCAUUAGCUAGUUGGUAAGGUAACGGCUUACCAAGGCAACGAUGCAUAGCCGACCUGAGAGGGUGGUCGGCCACCCUGGAACUGAGACACGGUCCAGACUCCUACGGGAGGCAGCAGUAGGGAAUCUUCCGCAAUGGGCGAGAGCCUGACGGAGCAACGCCGCGUGAGUGAUGAAGGUCUUCGGAUCGUAAAACUCUGUUAUUAGGGAAGAACAUAUGUGUAAGUAACUGUGCACAUCUUGACGGUACCUAAUCAGAAAGCCACGGCUAACUACGUG